rnacentral:snRNA from 1 species
UGAUAUCUGUGAAGAUAACUUCUGUUAUCCCACUGACAGGUAGAGUUGACUUGAAUGGUCUGACUGGCCAGUCAUGUGUCCUUUUCCUCACUCACUGUUCUAGCUACACCCUUCCCAAAGUUUUCCACUUAGUUGAAGAGGUCUACCUUCCCAAGCAGAGGAGAUCCUGCCUUCAGUAAUAUAAUGGUUCAUGAAUGAGGAGCUGUGCACUCCUGAAAGAACCUUCGAAGGAGGUUUCAAAAAACUUGAUUUCAUUGAUGACCAAGAAAAAGCAAGCCAAAACCACAAUGGGAUGU